rnacentral:rRNA from 1 species
AAUAGCAGCCACAUCACCCUGUAACUCCCAGCUGGCAGCCCACUGGAGCUCAGCAGGUGUGAGCCUGGUCAGUACCUGGAUGGGAGACCUCCUGGGAAAAACUAAGGUUGCUGCUGGAA